rnacentral:rRNA from 1 species
AACGAACGCUGGCGGCAGGCCUAAUACAUGCAAGUCGAACGGAUGUAGCAAUACAUUAGUGGCGCACGGGUGCGGAACACGUGGGAACAUACCCUUUGGUAAGGAAUAAUGUCUGGAAACGGACACUAAUACCUUAUAAUGACUUCGGUCUAAAGAUUUAUCGCCAAAGGAUUGGCCCGCGUCUGAUUAGGUAGUUGGUGGGGUAAUGGCCUACCAAGCCUACGAUAAGUAGCUGGUCUGAGAGGAUGAUCAGCCACACUGGAACUGAGACACGGUCCAGACUCCUACGGGAGGCAGCAGUAAGGAGUAUUGGACAAUGGGCGCAAGCCUGAUCCAGCCAUGCCGCGUGAGUGAAGAAGGCCUUAGGGUUGUAAAGCUCUUUCAAUGGUGAAGAUAAUGACGGUAGCUAUAGAAGAAGCCCCGGCUAAAUUCGUGCCAGCAGCCGCGGUAA